UCAGGGUUGGCUUUUAUCUCCAACAGUUCCUCACUGGGUCUUCUCUCUCCUGCAUUGAACCGAUUGCGGGACCAAGAGUGUGUGUUCCCGCAUCCCCACACAGCUGGGGGUGAUCAGCGGAGUGGUCGAUUGAUUGAUGCGCUGCGGCGUUGUGGGUGCCUCGUUCCCUCACCCUCGUGAGGUUCAUUCAACCUUCUGACGGUAUGUGUUUAAAUGACUGCAACUCGUGCUAUUAUUAUUAAGUCUUAGUGCUAAAUUAUAUUUUUUCUCACAAUAGGUUUUGUGUGUGAGCCAUGUCGGGCUGCCCUAAACUCUCCUCUCGGGCCUCUAUCAGCUGUGCUGCUGUUUUGUUUCUGUGCUGCUGUUUUGCUCCUGUGCUGCUGCGCUGUGGUUGUUUCUGCUACCACUGUUGCCUGCUCCGCUGUACUCCUGUCUCAUCACCGUUGGUAAGGCUGUCACUGUCGCCAUCCAACUUUGAAUGGGUGGCGUCCUGCUUAGAGUGAGGUGACGUCAUCACCCUGUGGACUAAAUUUUAGGUAACCUGUUGCCUCAGCUUCCUCAUUUUGUUGGCAUUUAGCCUAUUAUGGUUUAAAUCAUUUGUUAUUAUUUUGUGAUUUGAGUGUUUGUAUGUUUUGUUUCUUCGGUUUGAUAUUUUUUUUAUUAGUUAUUAGUAUUUGGUUUAUUUACAUGUUUGUUUGGUUUGGUGAUUUCUAAAUAUGGUUGAG
rnacentral:lncRNA from 1 species